GGGAGUGCCAGGGAGAAGCCCAUGAACCAUGCGACUGCCAGACAUGGAAGAUGUGGCUGGCUGAAGUGACUGAGAUGAGACCCCAGGAAUUGGCUGGUGUGAGUGAAGCCUAUGAAGAUGCAGCCAACUGCUUGUGGUUACUGUCAAACGCCAAACCCUGCGCCAACUGCAAGUCUCCUAUUCAGAAGAACGAAGGCUGCAACCACAUGCAGUGUGCUAAGUGUAAGUAUGACUUCUGCUGGAUCUGUCUGGAGGAAUGGAAGAAACACAGCUCUUCUACUGGAGGUUACUACCGCUGUACCCGCUAUGAGGUCAUCAACCAGGUGGAGGAGCAGAACAAAGACAUGACUGUGGAGGUGUGGAGUACACACACACACACACACACACA